rnacentral:rRNA from 1 species
UACUAGAGUAGCACUCGCAUAUCAAUAAGCGGAGGAAAAGAAACUAACAAGGAUUCCCCUAGUAACGGACGAGUGAAGCGGGAAGAGCUCAAAUUUGAAAUCUUAAAGGGUUUCCCUUUACGAAUUGUAGUUUAAAGAAGUGUUUUCUGUUGAGGUUUUGGUAAAAGUUCUUUGGAAUAGGACAUCAUAGAGGGUGAGAAUCCCGUAUUUGACCUUUACUUUCAACUUUGUGAUACACUUUCAAAGAGUCGGAUUGUUUGGGAAUGCAGUCCAAAAUGGGUGGUAAAUUUCAUCUAAAGCUAAAUAUUGGCGAGAGACCGAUAGCGAACAAGUACCGUGAGGGAAAGAUGAAAAGAACUUUGAAAAGAGAGUUAAACAGUACGUGAAAUUGUCAAAAGGGAAGCGUUUGACACCAGUGUUGUUUUUCUGAAAAUCAAUUAAAGAACUGUUUAUGCUAAGCUGUUUAGACUUUAUCAGCUAUCUGUUUAGUUUUGAGCUUUUCUUUAAUGCACUUUUCAGUUAACAAGUCAACAUCAAUUUCUUUUGCUGUAAAAAAGCUUGAGGAAGGUGGCUUGAGAUUCGUCUUAAGUGUUUAUAGCCUCUUGCCUAUGCAGUCGGAGAGAUUGAGGUCUGCAGCGUAGAUCCUUCGGGGCUAAAUGCAUUUGUGCUAAGUUAUAGCAUUUUAUAGACAACUUGUUGACCAUGAUUUGUCUUGUAGCUUACUCGCUUAUGUUAUUUUACCUACGCUUAGGAUGUUGAUCUACAGAGCGAGAG